UGAAUUUUUAAAAUACUUUUAGCAAAUAUCUGAUCAAUUAAAAUAUGGCUCAUGCUAUCAGAAAUCAUUGAAAGAACAUUAUAAAGGGUGGCAUUGUGGCACACUUGGUUAAGCUGCUAUCUGCAAUGCCGGCAUCGCAUAUGGGCACCGAUUUUGAGUCCUGACUAGUCCUCUUCUGAUCCAGCUCCCUGCUAAUGUACCUGGGAAAGCAGAAGAUGGCCCAAAUACUUGUACCCCUGCCAUCCAUAUGAGAGAUCCAGAUAAAACUCCAGGCUACUGGCUUCAGCCUGACUCAGUCCUGGCCUUUGUGUCAUUUUAGGAGUGAUCUAGCGAUGGAAGAGCUCUCAGUCUCUCUUUCUCUCUCUCUCUCUCUCUCUCCCCCUCUGUCUCGUCUCUUACUGUCUCUCUGUAACUCUGCCUUUCAAACAAAUAAAUCGAUCUUUUUUAAUAAAAACAUUGCAAUCACUGACUUUCUGGAACUGAGGUUAAUAUUUCAGAUUUUUGUUCUAUUGUCACCUCACAAUCAGUACUGAUUUCUUUAUUCAUUAACUUUUCACUAGGUUAUUUCUGUGGCAAUAUAUAAUCCCCAAAUCUCAGGUACUCAUAAUGACAAACAUUAUGUUUCUUCUCCACAUGCAUAUUGCCUGCAUCUGGUGGAGGUCAAUGGCAGUUCUCCACGUUUUCUUCAUUCCAUGACCCAGGGGGGAAGGACAUGCCAUUCUUGUGACAGCAUGAACAAAAGCAAUCAUAGAAGCACGUGAUGGAUCUUUAGCUUAUGCUUGGGUGUGCUAUUCAUCACUUAUGUUCACAUUCCUUUUGCAAAAGUGUAUCACGUGUCUAUGCAUUGGAUGGGACAAUGAAAGUUUUAGCAAGAAAUCAGGAGUCAGUAAUGAAUACCGUAAUACAAUCUACUGUUCUGUAAGAGAGAGACAGAAGGGAAGUACCCUGAUCUUGAGAAAUCUUCAGAGUAUCUGCAUGAUGUUACUUGGAUAUGCAGCUUCAAAAGGCCUCUGAAGAUGAGGAAAUAUGAAAAAUGUGAAUGAAGAUGAAAGCAGUAUUUCAUGUCACCAAGAUCUCAUAAAUCUGAGCUAUGCAUCCGGUAAGCCCCAGUCCUCAGUUGGACCCCUUCCUAUUAGGAUGAAGGGAAAGACUUGAGCAGAAAGAAGCACCCCCUAGAUUUUGCCUCAUAGGAAAGGGAAUACUUUAUUUUAACCUUUCUUAAGAAAAAUAAUACUCAUGAUAUAACUUCUCCAUAUCAAUGAAUGUAUUUAAUUGCCAUUGCACAUGAGUGUAGUGUUUAUAUAUAUGUGUGUAUGUGCAUUAUAUAUAAUACAUACAUAUUUUAUAAUACACAUGUGUAUGUUUCAGUGUAUAGGUUUGCACCACUGAAUAUGCCCUGGUGUCAAUGUGCUGGUGUGUGUGAGUUUAUGUCAAUGUGUGUGCCAGUGCUUGUGUUUUGAUAUGUGUUUGUGUCAGAAGCUGUAUUUUAGGUUUCUAUUGAAUGUGUGUCAGUUUGUAUUCUGUAGUAUAUGUCAGUUUAUGUGUUUGUGUUAAUAUGUGUGUUAGUGUUUGUAAGUAUAUGUGCAUAUCACUGCUUGCAUAUUUAUUUUCUUGAAAAUAGUGGUGAUAAAAAUGCCUGUAAGCAUGUUUGUAGGGAAAUGGUGUUGUCAUAAAGGGAUUUAAACAGGUCUACCUUCUGCACUGAAUGGAUCCUUUCAGGGCUUGGGGUGUGUGGAGAGGCAGUGAAUGGAGCUUCACUGGUUCUAAACCCUCUUUACUUAUUUAAAGUACAGCUGUGAAAGCUGGUUUAGGUGCAUGAAACACGGGCUUUUACUCUUCUAUUUAUUCAUUACAGAAUAGCAGAGUGGUUAAAAGAACAGGUAAUGAGGGGAAAUGCUUAUGUUAAAUAAAAUCUCUUAAAAAGUGAAAUAAUGUGUUGCC
rnacentral:lncRNA from 1 species